GAUGAAGAACGCAGCGAAAUGCGAUAAGUAGUGUGAAUUGCAGAAUUCAGUGAAUCAUCGAAUCUUUGAACGCACAUUGCGGCCAUAGGUAUUCCUUUGGCCAUGCCUGUUCGAGCGUCAUUUACACCCUCAAGCCCAGCUUGGUGUUGGGCGUCUGUCCCGCCGUUCUCGCGCGCGGACUCGCCUCAAAGUCAUUGGCGGCGGUCGUGCCGGCCCCCUCGCGCAGCACAUUUGCGCUUCUCGGAGGCCCGGCGGAUCCGCGCUCCAGCAAGACCUUUCACGACUUGACCUCGGAUCAGGUAGGGAUACCCGCUGAACUUAAGCAUAUCAAAACGGAGGA
rnacentral:misc_RNA from 1 species